rnacentral:rRNA from 1 species
CAGUCGCCACGGUAAUACGUAGGGUGCGAGCGUUAAUCGGAAUUACUGGGCGUAAAGCGUGCGCAGGCGGUUGUGUAAAACAGGUGUGAAAUCCCCGGGCUUAACCUGGGAACUGCGCUUGUGACUGCACAGCUAGAGUGUGGCAGAGGGGGGUGGGAUUCCACGUGUAGCAGUGAAAUGCGUAGAGAUGUGGAGGAACACCGAUGGCGAAGGCAGCCCCCUGGGCCAAUACUGACGCUCAUGCACGAAAGCGUGGGGAGCAAACAGGAUUAGAUACCCCCGUAGUCCCUGUCUCUUAUGC